UACGAAGGGGGCUAGCGUUGCUCGGAAUCACUGGGCGUAAAGGGCGCGUAGGCGGCUUUAUAAGUCGGGGGUGAAAGCCUGUGGCUCAACCACAGAAUUGCCUUCGAUACUGUAGAGCUUGAGACCGGAAGAGGUAAGUGGAACUGCGAGUGUAGAGGUGAAAUGCGUAGAUAUCGGAAGGAACACCAGUGGCGAAAGCGGCUUCCUGGUCCAGCACCGACGUUCAGGCACGAAAGCGUGGGGAGCAAACAGG
rnacentral:rRNA from 1 species